ACACAAAGACAUAAGUUUGACAUUCAACAUCAAUCCCUCUUAGCAUCCAUUGAUCACAUUUUUUAGCAUUACAUCUGUUAAAAAAUUGAAGAGCAAAUCCCGAGAGCUUGAACUUCACAUUUAGAAGAAAUCUAGUCUUUUACAAUAGCAUAUAUGUCUAUAGUAAUUUUUAUGCCAAGUAACUUCAAAACAGAACAGAAAUGAAGCUUUUGCAAGAAUAGAAUAGAAUAUAUGCUACUUUCGAUCCAAACAAGGUUUCUCAUAGGAAUAACAACAAAUAACUUGAGGUCCCUCAAGGCAACAACAACAACAACAAAUUUGAACGAAUUUGAGAGAGGAGAGAUAUUCAGCAGCAGGAAUGUUCAGACUGUUGUUUAGAAAAUUAUUUGGACAGCUACCAAACUGUCGUUUAGACAACUACAUGGAGUGUUGAAUACUUCUAACUCUUUGCCUUAGUAAACUAUAGUUUAUUAGUACAAACUUAUAACCUUUGCCUCAAUAAACAUCAGACAACAACUAUGAACUCUUCCCUCGGUAACAACAAUUCACAAUGGGCGUGGAAGCUAGAAAUUAGAUAACUAGUACUGAAUUCAAUAGCAGGAAUGUUCAGACUCACGGUGUUAUUUAUUGUGUUUGUUUGUAAGCAAGGUUCUGACACUAAAAGAAACAAAAACGGAAGAUUAUUUUUAUGCAUGCUUGCUCACCGGUGGCGGUGGCGGGGCAGUAGGUCUUGCCGUAGAGCCUGCAAAUGUGGGAGCGGGUGGCGGUCUCGAAGAAGGUGAGCACCAACCUCUUUUGUGCUUUGCGGUGAGUAGGCUCCAAAUAAAAAUGGACGACCACGCAGAAGGUUGCAUAUGGAUGAACUGAUGACCCAUUUUUUCUCGUACUGAAGCUUCUCUGUAUUGAAGCUUGUUUCCAGAAAUCAUAUCAGUGGGUCAUUAAACACAUGUAGCAACAUCGAAAGAGGAACAUGAGAAAAAGAAGACACGGAUAUACAAGAACUACAGUGGACAAACCAAUAAUAUAAAUCCUUAAGCAAUAAUCGAGAGAGCUCAGAAUCUCCAUGGAAGAUGCCUAUGCAUUUGCUACGGAAGGGCCGCCCACUCCCAUGCUCUAUCUCCUCCCACUCCCUGCACACACACAGAGCAGAGAGAGAGGAUGAGACUGAGAUGACUGAGGCGGAUAGAGGACGGAGCACAAGGUGGCCUGCAUGCAGCUUUUCUCGUGCCCGGCUAUGGAGCAUGAUGUCGUACUGGCGAGGCAAAGGUCCAAAUAUAUCACCUAAAUAAGUUCAAAGAAUUUUACAAAAACAAGCAGGCAACAAAGAGAUAAGGCAUGUCCCUAUCAGGCACAAGUUCUAUAUAUAGAAGGACUAGUAAGGGUCUCAGGAAUCGACUACAUUAUUUCAAUCAACUAGAUCUUCAUCAGUACUAGAAUGACUGGAAAAGAAGUUUAAAAGCUACAUGUGUGCUAUGACUAAGAAUAGAACUCAAAAAGAAUUUUUCUGGAGUUGGAAUAAGACGUCAGAGAUCAGGUGGACCAGCUACACCUCCUCCUAUGGACUGAUUGCUUUGGUGAAGUGGAGCUGAUGGAGGCACAGAUCAUGAGCGCCGCCAGGAUUUGGCCGCUGCAGGGAAUCUAUCAGUGAGCAUACAUCACAAAAGCAAAUGUUCAAAGCAAAAUGAGAUGGCUUUCUUACUGUGUGGUUGAUCAAUGGGUGCAGCGCUUGGAGGCAGAGAUCAUGAGCGGCGCUAUGAUUGGUCCGCUGGUCCUUUUUUUAUACUGGUAAUGGAGAUACUGAAUCUAAAACAAAGGGGCUAACCUUAAUGACAACUAGUCUCAACUCUGACCUUUUCUACAACCUUUUGUCGAACUGAUAAUGACUGGGAGUAGGACAAGAUUAGGGCGGUUCAGAGGAAGUUAAGCAGCAUUGGAUCACUUGUUACAUUCAGAGAACUACACCCAUCCAUCCAUCUAUCCAUUGAACAGAAAAGGCAGAAGAAAUUUGCCAACUCCAUCUCUGAUCUAAUAACAAAUCAAGAAAAGAGUAGAAUCAAAAAA
rnacentral:lncRNA from 1 species